rnacentral:rRNA from 1 species
AAUGAACGCUGGCGGCGCGCCUAAUACAUGCAAGUCGAGCGAGAAGACGUAGCAAUACGUUUGUAAAGCGGCGAACGGGUGAGGAAUACAUGGGUAACCUACCCUCGAGUGGGGAAUAACUAGCCGAAAGGUUAGCUAAUACCGCGUACGCUCCUUGGACUUCGGUUCAGGGAGGAAAGCGAUACCGUGGGUAUCGCGCUCUUGGUUGGGCUCAUGUCCUAUCAGCUUGUUGGUGAGGAACGGCUCACCAAGGCUUCGACGGGUAGCUGGUCUGAGAGGACGAUCAGCCACACUGGCACUGCGACACGGGCCAGACUCCUACGGGAGGCAGCAGUAAGGAAUAUUGCGCAAUGGGCGAAAGCCUGACGCAGCGACGCCGCGUGGGGGAUGAAAGUCUUCGGAUUGUAAACCCCUUUCGGGAGGGAAGAUGGAACGAGCAAUCGUUCGGACGGUACCUCCA